UGAUUUGGAAUUUCAUGAACGUUAAUGUUUUAAUUAUUAAAGUUUUCAACGCAAGUGGUAACGUAAUAUAUAAACAAAAUGAGAAGUAGACAUAACUAAUACCUUGACGUGAAGAUUUAUGGGUUUGAGUCUUGUGAUUUGUGAGUUGUAGAGACGGCAAAAGAAGAAAAAGAAUUACAGCAUUGAUUUAUUAAUUUUUUACAAACUCUAUGUUUAAGAAAAGUUAAUUAUUUCAUUAGUUUACAUACAACUCCGGGUUUGAUUGGUUCUGUCACCGGUUACCAG
rnacentral:lncRNA from 1 species